GCCGACGUGGCUCGAUGCAGAAAGGCACCGCUCUUGUAAAGCGGCUCAUGCUGGUGCAAACCCAGUCGUCGGCUCCU
rnacentral:tRNA from 1 species